rnacentral:lncRNA from 1 species
AAGAGAGAUGGCGCUCGGGACGGAAGGGUUCCCUGCCCUGCCCCAGGAGCCUGCAUGGGAGAAGGCGUGAGGAGGUGAAGGAAGCUUAUGGUACCUGCACACCGACAGGCUGGAGCGCGAGAGAUCUUGCUCUGUUGCCCAGGCUGGAGGGCAGUGGUGGAGUCAUAGCUCAUCAAAAGCUCAACCUUCCAGGCUCAAGUGAUGCUUCCGUCUCAGCCUUCUGAGUAGCUGGGACAACAGGUUCGUGCUGGCCGUGGGCAGCGCCGUCUUUGAUGCCAUGUUCAACGGGGGAAUGGCCACAACAUCCACGGAGAUUGAGCUGCCCGACGUGGAACCCGCUGCCUUCCUCGCA